rnacentral:rRNA from 1 species
ACUCCUACGGGAGGCAGCAGUGGGGAAUAUUGCACAAUGGGCGCAAGCCUGAUGCAGCCAUGCCGCGUGUGUGAAGAAGGCCUUGGGUUGUAAAGCACUUUCAGUCGUGAGGAAGGUAGUGUAGUUAAUAGCUGCAUUAUUUGUACGUUAGCGACAGAAGAAGCACCGGCUAACUCCGUGCCAGCAGCCGCGGUAAUACGGAGGGUGCGAGCGUUAAUCGGAAUUACUGGGCGUAAAGCGCAUGCGAGGUUGGUUUGUUAAGUCAGAUGUGAAAGCCCGGGGCUCAACCUCGGAAUAGCAUUUGAAACUGGCAGACUAGAGUACUGGUAGAGGGGGUAGUAAUUUCAGGUGUAGCGGUGAAAUGCGUAGAG